UCUUCAUGCUACCAUGCAAGUCGAACGCUGAAGCCCGCAGCUUGCUGUGGGUGGAUGAGUGGCGAACGGGUGAGUAACACGUGAGUAACCUGCCCCCGACUUCGGGAUAAGCCCGGGAAACUGGGUCUAAUACCGGAUAUGACAACCGAAGGCAUCUUCGGUUGUGGAAAGUUUUUUCGGUUGGGGAUGGGCUCGCGGCCUAUCAGUUUGUUGGUGAGGUAAUGGCUCACCAAGACGACGACGGGUAGCCGGCCUGAGAGGGCGACCGGCCACACUGGGACUGAGACACGGCCCAGACUCCUACGGGAGGCAGCAGUGGGGAAUAUUGCACAAUGGGGGAAACCCUGAUGCAGCGACGCAGCGUGCGGGAUGACGGCCUUCGGGUUGUAAACCGCUUUCAGCAGGGAAGAAGCCCCUUGGGGUGACGGUACCUGCAGAAGAAGUACCGGCUAACUACGUGCCAGCAGCCGCGGUAAUACGUAGGGUACAAGCGUUGUCCGGAAUUAUUGGGCGUAAAGAGCUCGUAGGUGGUUGGUCACGUCUGCUGUGGAAACGCAACGCUUAACGUUGCGCGUGCAGUGGGUACGGGCUGACUAGAGUGCAGUAGGGGAGUCUGGAAUUCCUGGUGUAGCGGUGAAAUGCGCAGAUAUCACGAGGAACACCGGUGGCGAAGGCGGGACUCUGGGCUGUAACUGACACUGAGGAGCGAAAGCAUGGGGAGCGAACAGGAUUAGAUACCCUGGUAGUCCAUGCCGUAAACGUUGGGGACUAGGUGUGGGGGACAUUCCACGUUCUCCGCGCCGUAGCUAACGCAUUAACUGCCCCGCCUGGGGAGUACGGUCG
rnacentral:rRNA from 1 species